AUGUAGUUAAAAUAGAUUGGAAAAUCGUUGUUACUAUUUUUCCCUUCUCUCUCUUCUUCUGUACGCACCAACGCGUUUCUUUCUUCCAUCUUCCUUCAACAAACCACCACCAUCCCCCAUCUUUCCGGCGUCGAUCCGGCCGCCAUGUCUACGGAUCGGAUGAAAUAACAUGGUUUUCCUUAUCCAUUCAACGAGAUCUUUUCAUUCAUCCAAUUAGUUUUUGGAAAGGAGCAUCUUUUCCGCUGACCCUUUUCUUCCUCUUCCACGAAUGUACAGAACCACAGUGUUAAGGUUCUCUAAGCAGCCAUUAACUUCUCCAAGCAAGUUAUCAAUGAAGAUGUUGUACAUGAUGACAUAGAUGAGGAAUUUCAAGAGGAAGACGUAGAUGAUGAAUUUCUUGAGGACGAAUUUCUUGAGGACAACUUAAGUGAUGAAUUUCAGGAGGAUGAUAUAGAUGAUGAAUUUCAAGAGGAUGACCUAGAUGAUGAAAUUCAAGAGGAUGAAAUCGAUGAUGAAUUUGAAGUGGACGAUUUGGCUGAUGAAUUACAAGAUAAACUUGAAUGAUCGAGUUGGAUGGUGUUUUAUUUUGGAUUGUAGUUAAUUCCACUAAACUUGUCUGAAAUAUAGUUUUGUUAUAUUACUAGGCUUAUACUUCGAAGCAUUAAACUUAUCAAGUAAUGUUUCACAUUUUGAUUACUAUUAUGUCUUGAAUUAAUAUUUGAACUAUUUUAUUAUAUUA